GAUGAAGAACGUAGCGAAAUGCGAUAAGUAAUGUGAAUUGCAGAAUUCAGUGAAUCAUCGAAUCUUUGAACGCACCUUGCACCCUUUGGCAUUCUGAAGGGUAUGCUCGUUUGAGUGUCAUUGUACUCUCACACUCCCGAUCUUUGCAUUGGGAGCAGUGGACUUGGGUUUGCUGCUUCACCGUCGCUUACCUCAAAUAGGUUAGUGCAACUCUUGGUUGGACAUAGUACGGCGUGAUAAGUGUUCUUCGCCGGUCCCUCGCAAAGAGGGUGGCCGAUCGGGAUGUUGUGCUCCAAACCGUCUUCGGACAAUCUCUGACGACUUGACCUCAAAUCGAGUAAGACUACCCGCUGAACUUAAGCAUAUCAAUAAGCGGAGGA
rnacentral:misc_RNA from 1 species